rnacentral:rRNA from 1 species
GGACGUAGGGCGCGAGCGUUGUCCGGAUUUAUUGGGCGUAAAGAGCUCGUAGGCGGCUUGUCGCGUCGAAUGUGAAAACCUGCAGCUCAACUGCAGGCUUGCAUUCGAUACGGGCAGGCUCGAGUUCGUAGGGGAGACUGGAAUUCCUGGUGUAGCGGUGAAAUGCGCAGAUAUCAGGAGGAACACCGGUGGCGAAGGCGGUGAGCUGGGCAGUAGCUGACACUGAGGCGCGACAGCGUGGGGAGCAACAGG